rnacentral:rRNA from 1 species
UAACCUGCCUUGUAGCGGGGGAUAACUAUUGGAAACGAUAGCUGAUACCGCAUAACAAUGGAUGACACAUGUCAUUUAUUUGAAAGGGGCAAUUGCUCCACUACAAGAUGGACCUGCGUUGUAUUAGCUAGUAGGUGAGGUAAUGGCUCACCUAGGCGACGAUACAUAGCCGACCUGAGAGGGUGAUCGGCCGCACUGGGACUGAGACACGGUCCAG